ACGGGAGGCAGCAGUGAGGAAUAUUGGACAAUGGGGGCAACCCUGAUCCAGCCAAACCGCGUGAGGGAUGAAGGUCCUACGGAUCGUAAACCUCUUUUAUGUGGGAAUAAUUAGUGGAACGUGUUCCACUUUGAAGGUACCACUUGAAUAAGCAUCGGCUAACUCCGUGCCAGCAGCCGCGGUAAUACGGAGGAUGCAGGCGUUAUCCGGAUUUAUUGGGUUUAAAGGGUGCGCAGGCGGACCUUUAAGUCAGCGGUGAAAUCCCGUAGCUCAACUACGGAACUGCCGUUGAUACUGGAGGCCUUGAGUCGUGUCGAGGAUGGCGGAAUGCAGCGUGUAGCGGUGAAAUGCUUAGAUAUGCUGCAGAACUCCGAUUGCGAAGGCAGCUGUCCAGAGACGAACUGACGCUGAGGCACGAAAGCAUGGGUAUCAAACAGGAUUAGAUACCCUGGUA
rnacentral:rRNA from 1 species